rnacentral:rRNA from 1 species
AUGGCGUCGUCGGCGUUCAAAUCCACCACCCGCCGCAAUCUCCACGGCUCAGCCGACCGCCCCGUGCAGCCACCGCCCCACUGCCCCCGCCGCUCCCGCAGCGUCACCCCUGCGCCCCGCCGCGAACGUCUCCUCGGGGAUUACGCCGGGACUACCCGCACCAAUCCGCUCUUCGACCGCGGGGGGAGGGCCUUCUCUCCACCUCCGCCGCCGGAGGACUCUGGGGACAGAGGGAGGAAGGAGAGCAGGGGUCGCGGCUCAAGGAAGGCGCGGUCGGUGUCCGUCGCGCCGCCGCAGCGUCGGCGCGCUGCCACCUCGGCGCCGUCGUCGGCAGGCACUGAUGGCGGUGGUGGAGGCAGGGCUUCGCGGGCGCGGCCGGUCGUCGGUGAGGCACGGCCGUGCCGUGGCUCCGUGACAGAUGCAGAAACCGUGGAUUUAUCAAGCAAAAUGCAGUCUUGGAGGAGUAGUAAUUCAGUUCUAAGUUCGUCAUACGUAUCUGUCAAUGCCAUCUCACAAAGGAGCCAUUCAACUGUUCUGGAAAUUCCUCCUGAGUUUGAUCCGGAUUCUGCUGAGUUUGUCUCGGAUAUAAGUGAUUAUGCAACAGGAUUCAAACGGAGAGAUGUUGUGGAAAUUCUUCUUGAGUUUGAUCCAGAUGCUACUCAGCUGGUUUCAGUCGAAAGGCACAAUGCUACCAAGCUGCAAUGGGAGGGAAUAGAAAUCCCUCUUGAGUUUGAUCCAGAUUCUGUUGAGCUGGCUCCUGACAUCACUGAGUACACAUCAAAACUGAAACAGUCACAUGAGCGUGCUCGAAAGCUGCGGGCAGAUUUGGCUGUUGAAGAGCAGCGCGAACAAGAACUGAGUAGAAUGCUAAAGGGCAUAGUGACUGUUCCAAGUUUGUCUGAAACGCAUAAAAGGCGACCAAGGAGAAAGUUAAUUCACUUGCUAGUCCUCCAUUUUAUAUGA